rnacentral:SRP_RNA from 1 species
AGCCGGGCCCUGUGCGACAGAGGAUUGCAAACCCCGUCAGGUCCGGAAGGAAGCAGCGGUAGCAAGACCGAUGUGUGCUGCAGGUAGCCUGGCUAUC